rnacentral:rRNA from 1 species
GAUGAACGCUGGCGGCGUGCCUAAUACAUGCAAGUCGAGCGAACAGACGAGGAGCUUGCUCCUCUGACGUUAGCGGCGGACGGGUGAGUAACACGUGGAUAACCUACCUAUAAGACUGGGAUAACUUCGGGAAACCGGAGCUAAUACCGGAUAAUAUAUUGAACCGCAUGGUUCAAUAGUGAAAGACGGUUUUGCUGUCACUUAUAGAUGGAUCCGCGCCGCAUUAGCUAGUUGGUAAGGUAACGGCUUACCAAGGCGACGAUGCGUAGCCGACCUGAGAGGGUGAUCGGCCACACUGGAACUGAGACACGGUCCAGACUCCUACGGGAGGCAGCAGUAGGGAAUCUUCCGCAAUGGGCGAAAGCCUGACGGAGCAACGCCGCGUGAGUGAUGAAGGUCUUCGGAUCGUAAAGCUCUGUUAUGAGGGAAGAACAAAUGUGUAAGUAACUAUGCACGUCGUGACGGUACCUAAUCAGAAAGCCCCGGCUAACUACGUG